UACGAAGGGGGCUAGCGUUGCUCGGAAUGACUGGGCGUAAAGCGCACGUAGGCGGCUUUCUAAGUCAGGGGUGAAAUCCCGGAGCUCAACUCCGGAACUGCCUUUGAUACUGGAGAGCUCGAGUCCGGGAGAGGUGAGUGGAACUGCGAGUGUAGAGGUGAAAUUCGUAGAUAUUCGCAAGAACACCAGUGGCGAAGGCGGCUCACUGGCCCGGUACUGACGCUGAGGAGCGAAAGCGUGGGUAGCGAACAGG
rnacentral:rRNA from 1 species